rnacentral:rRNA from 1 species
ACCAGACUCCUACGGGAGGCAGCAGUGGGGGAUAUUGCACAAUGGGGGGAACCCUGAUGCAGCGACGCCGCGUGGGUGAAGAAGCGCCUCGGCGCGUAAAGCCCUGUCAGCAGGGAAGAAAAUGACGGUACCUGAAGAAGAAGCCCCGGCUAACUACGUGCCAGCAGCCGCGGUAAUACGUAGGGGGCAAGCGUUAUCCGGAUUUACUGGGUGUAAAGGGGGCGCAGACGGCGAUGCAAGCCAGGAGUGAAAGCCCGGGGCCCAACCCCGGGACUGCUCUUGGAACUGCGUGGCUGGAGUGCAGGAGGGGCAGGCGGAAUUCCUGGUGUAGCGGUGAAAUGCGUAGAUAUCAGGAGGAACACCGGUGGCGAAGGCGGCCUGCUGGACUGCAACUGACGUUGAGGCCCGAAAGCGUGGGGAGCAAACAGGAUUAGAUACCCUGGUAAG